CAGACUCGUCUACACUGAGCUUCCAGAAAUUCCCUAUCCCAGCACUGGUUCCUGCUGGUUUCUCCUCAUGGGUUUCUGCUCCAGUAAGUUGUAAAUUCUCUGUUAUUCAUCUGUCACUGCAAUUUUGGGGGCAGCAGCUUUCCCCAUGACCUCACUUCUCUGAUUUAUCUAAGAAGAGUUGUUGAUUUUUCAGUUUAUUCAGCCUUCGACUUGUUAAGACAGAGUGGUGACUUCCAAACUUCUUAUAUGCUGGAUGGGAAAAUUUCCCUUCUAUUUUUAGUUUGCUGCAAAGUAUUUUAAUCAUAAAUGGAUGUUGGAUUUUAUCAAAUGCUUUUUCUGCAACUAUUGAGAGGACUGUGUCAUUUUUAACCUUUAUUCCAUUAAUAUGUUGUAUUACAUUGAUUGUUAAAUAUUUUUAUAUAUUUUUUUAAUGUUUGUUUAUUUAUUUUGAGAGAGACAGAGAGAGAAAGCACAAGCAGGGGAGGGGCAGAGAGAGAAGGACAGAGAGAAUCCUAAGCAGGCUCCCCACUGUCUGCACAGAGCUUGACUUGAGGCUCGAUCCCACGAACUGUAAGAUCAUGACCUGAGCUGAAAUCAAGAGUCAGACUCUUAACCAAUUGAGCUCACCCAAGCACCCCAGAUUUUUUUUUUUAAAUGAACAUUGUAUUUCUGGGAUAAAUUCCACUUGAUUUUAAUGUUUUAUCUGUUUUGGAUAUUUCUUGGUUGAUUUGCCAAUCUUUCUAAAGGAUUUUUACAUCUUUGUUGAUGACAGCUAUUGGCCUAUAGCAGGGACCAGUAAACUUUUUCUAAAAGAGUCAGGUAGUAAAUAUUUGAGGCUUUGCAGACCAUAUAAUCUGUGCCACAACUACUCAACUCUGUCACCAUGGCUUGAAAGCAGCAAUGGGCAAUAUGUAAAUUAAUGGGUGUGGCUAUGUUUUAAUAAACAUAGAUUGCAGGCUGUCUUUUGGCUCAGAGGCCAAGGUUUGCUAAUCCCUCAUCUAUUUUUGUGAGGAUUUUUUGCCCUUGCAAUAUCUUUGUCUGGUUUCACAUCAGAGUUAACACUGGCCUCAUUAAAUUAGUUGGGAAGUAUUUCUUUUUAUAUUUUCUAAAAGUCUCUAACUAUUACCUCAUCCUUAAUUGUUUACUAGAAUUUACCAGUGAAGCCGUUGGAAUUUACCAGUUCCAGUCAUUUGGGCCUGGAAUUGUUCCUUGUUGGAAACUUUGACUAUAAAAUACAAAUUUUAGUAGAUAUAGACACAGAUUUCUUAUAUUUUCUUUUUUUUAUUGAAGUAUAAUUCGUAUACCACAAAAUUCACCUUUUUCAAGUGCGCCCCACAAUCGUUUUUUAAUAUAGUCAUUGUGUCACACAAGCAUCACCAUUAUCUAAUACCAUAACGUUUUCAUUCCCCCCCUCAAAACCCCAUAGCAAUUAACAGACAUUCCUCAUUUUCUCCUCCUCCCAGUCCCUGGCAACCACUUUCUGUCCCUAUGGAUUUGCUUAUCCUGGAUAUUUCAUAUAAACAGAAUCAUAGAAUA